UAACGCGUGAGUAACCUGCCUCUAAGAGGGGGAUAACAUUCUGAAAAGAAUGCUAAUACCGCAUAACAUAUAUUUAUCGCAUGGUAGAUAUAUCAAAGAUUUAUCGCUUAGAGAUGGACUCGCGUCCGAUUAGUUAGUUGGUGAGGUAACGGCUCACCAAGACUGCGAUCGGUAGCCGGACUGAGAGGUUGAACGGCCACAUUGGGACUGAGACACGGCCCAG
rnacentral:rRNA from 1 species